GGAGAGAUGGCAGAGCGGUUGAAUGCACUGGUCUUGAAAACCAGCAAGGGGGCAACUCCUUCCAGGGUUCGAAUCCCUGUCUCUCCGCCA
rnacentral:tRNA from 3 species